AAGAUGCUAGUAAAAAAGAACAUUACACUGCCUUGUCAAGGCAAAAUUGUAGGUUAAAAUCCUGCGCAUCUUA
rnacentral:tRNA from 10 species